rnacentral:hammerhead_ribozyme from 1 species
AUCCAGAUGACGAGUCUCAAACAGGAUGAAACGCGCAUCCUGGAU